rnacentral:rRNA from 1 species
AACGGCAGCAUGAUCUAGCUUGMUAGAUUGAUGGCGAGUGGCGAACGGGUGAGUAAUACAUCGGAACGUGCCCUGUAGUGGGGGAUAACUAGUCGAAAGAUUAGCUAAUACCGCAUACGACCUGAGGGUGAAAGUGGGGGACCGCAAGGCCUCAUGMUAUAGGAGCGGCCGAWGUYUGAUUAGCUAGUUGGUGGGGUAAAGGCCCACCAAGGCGACGAUCAGUAGCUGGUCUGAGAGGACGAUCAGCCACACUGGGACUGAGACACGGCCCAGACUCCUACGGGAGGCAGCAGUGGGGAAUUUUGGACAAUGGGCGAAAGCCUGAUCCAGCAAUGCCGCGUGUGUGAAGAAGGCCUUCGGGUUGUAAAGCACUUUUGUCCGGAAAGAAAUGGCUCUGGUUAAUACCUGGGGUCGAUGACGUWCCCGGAAARAAUUU